rnacentral:rRNA from 1 species
GAUGAACGCUGGCGGCGUGCUUAACACAUGCAAGUCGAACGAAGCACUUUAUUUGAUUUCCUUCGGGACUGAUUAUUUUGUGACUGAGUGGCGGACGGGUGAGUAACGCGUGGGUAACCUGCCUUGUACAGGGGGAUAACAGUUGGAAACGGCUGCUAAUACCGCAUAAGCGCACGGCAUCGCAUGAUGCAGUGGGAAAAACUCCGGUGGUAUAAGAUGGACCCGCGUUGGAUUAGCUAGUUGGUGAGGUAACGGCCCACCAAGGCGACGAUCCAUAGCCGACCUGAGAGGGUGACCGGCCACAUUGGGACUGAGACACGGCCCAAACUCCUACGGGAGGCAGCAGUGGGGAAUAUUGCACAAUGGGCGAAAGCCUGAUGCAGCGACGCCGCGUGAGCGAAGAAGUAUUUCGGUAUGUAAAGCUCUAUCAGCAGGGAAGAUAAUGACGGUACCUGACUAAGAAGCACCGGCUAAUACGUG